rnacentral:rRNA from 1 species
AACGAACGCUGGCGGCAUGCCUAACACAUGCAAGUCGAACGAGACCUUCGGGUCUAGUGGCGCACGGGUGCGUAACGCGUGGGAACCUGCCCUUAGGUUCGGCAUAACUCCCCGAAAGGGGUGCUAAUACCGGAUAAUGUCUUCGGACCAAAGAUUUAUCGCCUUUGGAUGGGCCCGCGUUGGAUUAGCUAGUUGGUAGGGUAAAAGCCUACCAAGGCGACGAUCCAUAGCUGGCCUGAGAGGAUGAUCAGCCACACUGGGACUGGGACACGGCCCAGACGCCUACGGGAGGCAGCAGUGGGGAAUAUUGGACAAUGGGCGAAAGCCUGAUCCAGCAAGGCCGCGUGAGUGAUGAAGGCCUUAGGGUUGUAAAGCUCUUUUACCCGGGAUGAUAAUGACAGUACCGGGAGAAUAAGCUCCGGCUAACUCCGUG